rnacentral:rRNA from 1 species
UACAGAGACCUCAAGCGUUAUCCGGAAUCAUUGGGCGUAAAGCGUACCGAUAGGUGGUUAUACAAGUCAGGAGUGAAAUCUCAAGGCUCAACUUUGAGACUGUCUCUUGAAACUGUAUGACUAGAGGGGCAAAGAGGAAGCUGGAACGAACGGUGUAGUAGUGAAAUGCGUUGAUAUCGUUCGGAACACCGAUAGCGAAGGCAGGCUUCUGGGUGCCACCUGACACUGCUAGGACGAAAGCGUGGGGAGCGAAUGGG